AUCAAAUUUGUGAUACAUUUCUAAUUUGUGCCUGUUCGUGAUUCCAGUAAUAACAAACAUUCCCCCAGUUUCACAGACAAGGCUCUAUCUAGUCUUAGACUAAAAUGCAUGUUGAACUGUUUUAACAGAAAGCAACUUGUAUUGGUCUAUCUUAAAAUAUGUCCGUUUCAUUGUUAUGUCUCAAGAUACAAACAGUUAAUGUUUUUUCUGAAAACGGACCAUUAAGUUAUAGGUGACACAUUCAAGUGAUUUAGUCUAUGUUGAUAUGGUAGUCUCUAUAGAAGUACUUGGUUAUGUUUUUAUUUUAUUUCCCUCUUUUUAUUUGGCAGGACGGCUCCGCACUGUCACAGUCAAUAUGUGUGCGUGUGAACUAGAAACCACCGUAGGAUUGUACAGUUGCAUGCAAAAGUAUUCUUGAUAUUUUUCUAUCAAAUAACAACUUCUGAGUGAACCACCAUCAUCACCACGUUACCAUACGAAAUAGUGUUUUCACUGACUGCUGCUUAUACCGUAGGUUAACACACUCUACAGAGCCCUGGUGGGGGAAUCCAUAUCCCAUUUUAGGCAUCAGCACUUCCGACAAAGAAGUUUGGUAGAUAUUUGCCCACAAUUAGAUGAUGGGACCAUAUGCCCAGCAUGUCCAAAGGCAGAUGGAGAUAUGAUUGUGACAUUGGAUGCCAACUUUGGACUUGUGAGGAAGCAAAGCUCCGGUACAAGUGCAGUUGAGCCAUUACAUGGAACCCGCAUGUUUGUUGAUGAAAAGGAUGUAGAGGAAUACCUGCUAUCACAUCUUGACAGCUCAAAGCCUCAUGAGGACUGCAGUAACUUCAAGGCUGGCAACGUGCUGAGGUCACAAAAACAAGCAAAGAAACUUGACGUUACAGGAGUGUUCGGAGCCUGACAAUGACAAAACUAGAAAGAGUGUCACAUCCCUUACAAACUGUCAAAGACACAUACAGAAUCUAUAACCAGAAUCAAUUUCAGUUCAGUUUUAUUUAUAUAGUGCCAAUUCAUAACAAAAAUUCUCACAGCACUUUUUAAACAAAGUAGGUCUAGACCAUACACUUUAUAAUAUUAUUAACAAAGACCCAACAAUUCCCACCAUGAACAAGCACUACUGUAGGUGUUAACUAUUGUUAACAUGUAACCUUAUCAAUUAGAGCCCGAAUCUGAUGAUGCAGAUGACCAAGCUGAUCGAUCAACUUUGCCAGUGCGACUCGACCAGAAUGUAUCAGAUUGGUAAGUUUGCAUUUGUUAUCGUAGAAAAGACAAAGACGUAGAAACGAUCUGUGCUCUCCGAGAUGCUAGAAACAGUCCUCCGAAAAAUGCGCAGCACACAGUUAAAUAUUUGGGUGGUACUGUUCUGGAACAGCCCUGGAAGGCCAAACAAAGUAGUUUGGCUUUUGAACGAAAAACACAGCAUCGGCGAGAAAAAAAGUUAUGCCUUCUUUCUUUGCGUAUACAUUUGGGAGGUGUUAUGAAACUCUGGCCCCACACACUGACGUAGAGAUGUGGGGGCUUGUUUGCCCGAAGUGUUUUAGGAAGGUGUGGCUGAGGCGUAACUUUUACAAAGAAUAUCUCUUUGGGUUUGAGACUUUGUAACUCUACAGAUCUUAUACUUGCACUAACAGCUACAUAAUACACUUAAGAAAGCCUAUCAGAAAAUCUCUUUAUUUCUUUUUUUUUUCGUAUUUCGAUUUGUUGUUAAAUCAAACUUCAGUCAUUCAAAUAAAGAAAUAUUAAGCUGAGAGUCGAUUAUUCA
ensembl:lncRNA